ACUACUGCAUAUCUCACUGACUGAAGCAGCUAUAAAAUCGGAAAGUGAGUUAUUUGAUUUGGAGUUUAUCAGAAGACGGAUCUUUUACAUACAAAAAACAUGCCAUCUGAAAUAGUUUGAGAAGAAAAUAUAUAGAGAGAUUUUCUUGCUGGGCAGCUUCUGAAACAGAAAAUGGCGGCUGCGCCGUCGUCCUCGCCGUCCUCCGAUUUUCGAAACUCAGCAACGCACCCUAUCUAACCUGAGCGCGAGGUUGAUGAUGUUGCAACUAACAAUGGUGUCUUUGAUGUAUUCGAGAAAAGGCCUGACUCAACUCCCCAGCAUUUUCAGGUUCUCAAUAGCAUAGACUAUAUUGAGAAGUACCAAAAAUAUGAAGCUGACUACAAUCGUCGUCUUAUGGCAAAAUACUUCUCAAAGAAGAAUCUAUAUGGGGGAAACAUAUUUGAGGAAACUAUGACAAUAAAUGGUGGGACAAUAAAAUCAAGCAGGUGGCCUCGCACCCGAUCAUUCACAAACCCAGUUCAGGCUUUUGAAGAUCAAAGUAGCUGUGCUUCAUCGUCAACAACAGAAACUAUGAAUCUUGCUAUCAACAUUCGCAAAUUGAAAGGUACAUAUAAGAAUUGUGUGCUCUAUAUAUAUAUAUCGGAUAACUAAACUUUAUGUGCUUCCUUUGCUGAUUCUAAUUAAGCUGUCAAACAUUUGUAAGGUACAAGCAAAUGAAUCCGGCACUAAAUUUGUCAAUAUAUGUUAAGAAUAAUAAAAAAUGUAUGGCCAGAUUGUCUAAGCCAACUUUAGACUUGA